GUCGUAACAAGGUCCCGUUAAGUGAACCUGCGGAGGGAUCAUUACCGAGUUUUCAACUCCCAAACCCUUAUGUGAACCUACCUAUCGUUGCUUCGGCGGACUCGCCCCAGCCGGACGCGGACUGGACCAGCGGCCGCCGGGGACCAUCAAACUCUUGUAUUAUCAGCAUCUUCUGAAUACGCCGCAAGGCAAAACAAAUAAAUUAAAACUUUCAACAACGGAUCUCUUGGCUCUGGCAUCGUGAAGAACGCAGCGAAAUGCGAUAAGUAAUGUGAAUUGCAGAAUCCAGUGAAUCAUCGAAUCUUUGAACGCACAUUGCGCCCCCAGCAUUCUGGCGGGCAUGCCUGUUCGAGCGUCAUUUCAACCCUCGACCUCCCUUUGGGGAAGUCGGCGUUGGGGACCGGCAGCACACCGCCGGCCCUGAAAUGGAGUGGCGGCCCGUCCGCGGCGACCUCUGCGUAGUAAACCAACUCGCACCGGAACCCCGACGUGGCCACGCCGUAAAACACCCAACUUCUGAACGUUGACCUCGAAUCAGGUAGGACUACCCGCUGAAUUAAGCAUAU
rnacentral:rRNA from 1 species